rnacentral:lncRNA from 1 species
UAUUGAAAGGUAAUAAAAUUGGUGACAUCAGAAGCCCUUUGUUAGUCUCUUUUCGAAAGCCUUCUUCUUUUGAUUUCCUGACUUCAUUUUCUCCUUUUUUUUUUUUCCAAAAGAGACUUUAUUAUUUGAUUAAAUGGAUAAUUUUUUUGUUUUUUUCCAGAAAUCACAUAGAAACCAUAGACUGUUGUAGUUUUUUCCCUCCAACCCAAAUUACAUACAAGUUAUCUUUGACCCAGGUUUUCUCACCUAUUAUUUUAUUUUAUUUUAAAAAAUUAUUUGGCUGUCCACGACAUGUGGAAAUUCCCGGGCCAGGGAUCGAACCCAUGCCACAGCAGCAACCCGAGCCACAGCAGUGACACAGCAGAUCCUUCACCCACUGUGCCACCAGGAAACUCUAACCCAAUUUUUUUUUUAUAGGGAAAGUUUUAUUUAGGAAACGAUGAUGGUGUGGUGGGGAGCUUAAUUUGUAUUUUAAAGAAAUGUUAACUCUCUAAGUUGUGAACAUUUUAAAGAGACUUUUAUUCUAAAAUUGCUCUCUGCAAUAAUUAAUUUUUAAUAGAUGCUGGUCCUGACAUAUUGUUCAUUAGUAUGAUUGAAUUGAAUAGUCAUCAUUCAGAGUUCCCAUUGUGGCUCAGUGAGUUAAGAAUCUGACAUUAGUGUCUAUGAAGAUGUGGGUUGGAUCCCUGGCCUUGCUCAGUGGUCUAAAGAUCCGGCAUUGCCUCAAUUUGUGGCAUAGGUCACAGAUGUGGCUUGGAUCUGGUGUUGCUGUGGCAUAAGCCAGCAGCUGCAGCUCCGAUUUGACCCCUAGCCAGGCAACUUCCACGUGACACAGGUGCAGCCCUAAAAAGAAGAACAUUUUUUAAAAUCGUUUGCAUAUACAUCUAAAAGAAUUUAGCAAGCAAACUGUCCCGUUUCUAUUUGUCCAAAUGAGGUCUGAGGACCCUUAUGCCACACAGGCUUACCUUAAAGGCAAAGUGCAACCCGGAAGUUCCUGUAAAAUUCUUAAUGCUCCGUUUAGGACAGUGUAGCUGCGAUUAUAAAGAAUGUCAUAGUUCAUUUUUUAUUUGCUCAUGUAUAUACAACAAUUUAUUUUAUAUGCAAUCUGGACACAUGAUUACCCAAAGAUAUCUGGGCUGCGUGAAUGAAAAAUAUUCCUAAUAACCUUGUCUUUCUUUCUGAAGAACCUAGAAAAAGGAAUGAUUGCUUUUCAGAAAGGGGAAAAAAAGGAUAAUUGGAGAACCAUGAGGGAAAAGCUCUUCUCGUGACUUUCUUUGCUUGGGACCCAUCCGUCUGCUGGCUUUCUUCUCUGUCCCCUAAAGCAAGCUGAGGGGCUCAUCUUCAGAUUCUGUUGGGGAGCCCAAGACUUCAGCGUGCACCCCAUAAUUUUUACAGAAGACUCUGUUUGGUUAAUUCGUGGGUUCAGAUUGGAAUGUUCUUGCCUGAACAAGUUUUUGGCUUAAGAUUCUAGACUUAAGAGACCUCAGUGAUCCUCUGAGUAUUUAUUUAUUAAUUUAUGUAUU